rnacentral:rRNA from 1 species
UGGGGAAUAUUGGACAAUGGGCGAAAGCCUGAUCCAGCCAUGCCGCGUGUGUGAAGAAGGUCUUCGGAUUGUAAAGCACUUUAAGUUGGGAGGAAGGGCAUUAACCUAAUACGUUAGUGUUUUGACGUUACCGACAGACUAAGCCCCGGCUAACUCUGUGCCAGCAGCCGCGGUAAUACAGAGGGUGCAAGCGUUAAUCGGAAUUACUGGGCGUAAAGCGCGCGUAGGUGGUUUGUUAAGUUGGAUGUGAAAUCCCCGGGCUCAACCUGGGAACUGCAUUCAAAACUGACUGACUAGAGUAUGGUAGAGGGUGGUGGAAUUUCCUGUGUAGCGGUGAAAUGCGUAGAUAUAGGAAGGAACACCAGUGGCGAAGGCGACCACCUGGACUAAUACUGACACUGAGGUGCGAAAGCGUGGGGAGCAAACA